UGGAAUUGUGACAGCAUCUUGUAAGU
rnacentral:piRNA from 1 species